CCUACGGGAGGCAGCAGUGAGGAAUAUUGGACAAUGGGCGCAAGCCUGAUCCAGCCAUGCCGCGUGCAGGAUGACGGUCCUAUGGAUUGUAAACUGCUUUUGCACAGGAAGAAACAACGCUACGUGUAGCGUCUUGACGGUACUGUGAGAAUAAGGAUCGGCUAACUCCGUGCCAGCAGCCGCGGUAAUACGGAGGAUCCAAGCGUUAUCCGGAAUCAUUGGGUUUAAAGGGUCCGUAGGCGGUUUAGUAAGUCAGUGGUGAAAGCCCAUCGCUCAACGGUGGAACGGCCAUUGAUACUGCUAGACUUGAAUUAUUAGGAAGUAACUAGAAUAUGUAGUGUAGUGGUGAAAUGCUUAGAGAUUACAUGGAAUACCAAUUGCGAAGGCAGGUUACUACUAAUGGAUUGACGCUGAUGGACGAAAGCGUGGGUAGCGAACAGGAUUAGAUACCCUGGUAGUCCACGCCGUAAACGAUGGAUACUAGCUGUUGGGAGCGAUCUCAGUGGCUAAGCGAAAGUGAUAAGUAUCCCACCUGGGGAGUACGUUCGCAAGAAUGAAACUUAAAGGAAUUGACGG
rnacentral:rRNA from 1 species